AUUUUAGCUGCGAUCAGAGGAAAAAUAAAACUAUCGGGGAUGGAAGCUGAACAUCAGCAACAUCUUGUGGAGAAGUGCAUUCUUAAAAAUGUGCAUAAAAUUGCACGAAGUAUUUGUGGCUGCAUGAAAGGAAAACUUGUUGUAUAUUUUUGUACAGAUGCCCUUGACAGUCUGCACGCUGAUUGCAUCGAUUUCAUUGAAUUCGUGGUCGAGGUCUUUUUGGAGUGGAAAGACAUGAUAAGAUUUCAAAGUGAACUAAAAGCAAGGAUGUUUAUUGUGGAUAACAUCAAGGAAUUUUCUGCCAAAGUGCUCUCUGCACUCCAAAUGAUAGCUCAAACGACUGGAGAAAUCCUGUCACUUUUUCCAGAUUAAUCACCUGGAAUUUCAAAAAAAAAUUAAUGGAAAGAUCUUAUAAGGAAAUGGACAGACACUAGCUGGAUUGAAUCCAUGAAUCCAUAGUUUUUGCUUGCUGGUUUUCACCAGACAGUGUUUUGGGAUCACCUUAUGAAAUUAGUCUGAUAAACAAAUAGAGGAUAUUACAUGGGUGCAUGAUGAUACAGAUUUUAUCUUUGAGUGUUGAAAAGAUCUCUCAUGAGUGGGCAAAUUGAACAAGUGAGAGAUAUUCAACAAGAGAAGAUAUAAUCUGUAUCUCCAAGCAACCAUGUAAUAUUCUGUUUAUCAUAUAAUUAUCAAUAAACUUUUAUUUACCUCCAAUAUAUAGAGAUAGCAACUUUGCGUAAUGGAGAAACAUAGACUAUUUUAUAGAUAAUUAUAUGAUAUAAAAGAUAUCUAAUGUACUGGCAUACUUUCAUA